CUGUGUUAGUACAGCAUGUCGAUGAAGCUCAUAAAAGGCUGUGCUGCAAUGUACUAUUCAGUGUCCCUGGGUAAGCCUGGUCUCUUUGAAGAGUCUUUGCAGGAAGGGUGAGAACAGUCUUCAGAUCAAGAUGCAGCAUGGAUAAAUAGUGCCUCUUUCUAGCCUAGUAUUCCCCUGUCAAAGGGAACCGUCAGAGAUGACACAAGAGCAACACCAGGAGGACUCUUCACAAUCUCAAAGGAAAACAGCUCUCAGGCCACAGGACUACAUCUAUAAAUCUUCAAAAUCCUGUAUCCAGGGCUGUUUCAUCUGUUGUAAACCUGGAGCUUUGCACAGGAGGUAUCAUGCCUUAGUCUCUGGAAACCAGCAGGAAGCACAGGGAAGGCCAGAGGACAAGUACUGGAUUCCAUGUCAGUCAUCAAGAUUGUUGAUGAGGCCAAGCCAGAAGCUCCUCACCUCUGAGGGUCAUUUCUCUGUGUUCCUGGGCGGAAGAGUGGUCACAUCACAGUUUUCCAACAUUUAAAGAUGGCUGCAAAGAGAAUGGAGACUCUCUCUUCAUGAGGAGCCACAUGGAGAAGACAAGAAGCAAAAUUUACAAGUUCCACUGGGAGAAGUUUCACUUAGAUAUAAGAAAGAUUUUUUUUUUUUUACAGCAAGAACAAUCAUUCACUUGAGCAACCUAUUCAGGCACAUGGUGUCCCUACUCAUUAGAAGCUUUCAAGAUACAACUGGAUGCUGUUAGAUGGCUUCAUCUGGAUCAUGUUCCCAUGAAAGAUGGGACAAAGUGAACUUUUGAGAUCCCUUCACGCUUGGGUUGUUCCAUCUUUCUGUGAAUAGACAUAUGCAGAAAGCAUUUUGAAACAAGAAAAAUGAACUUUGAUGGGAAAACUAGCAGGUAAACACUUAAAAAGUCUUGUGGAUAAGAGGAUUGUGUCUUGUGAGGAGAUUAAAAUGUAUUGGUUUAUCUAGCCUAAAAAGGGGCCUAAAUGAGAUAUAACUGCUGUUUUUAAACCGAGUGUAAAUACUGGAGGAGUGAUAUUUAAGCAAACAGAUAACUGUGGUGCAAAAGCAAAUAAACAUAGACAACACUGGAUUCAUUAAAGUUAAGAGCUUUAAGAGGGUUUUCAGUUGCAGAAUGAAUGAUGUUCUUUACAUUCCAAUAGCAACCAGAAGAGUAGAUACAUUUACAGGUGAACAGUAACAGCAGUAAAGGGAAAUUAAGGGUAUAGUGAGUAUAGAUAUUUUUGGAGAUCAGGUAAAUUCAGGUGUUAUAACUUGAUCCUCAUAAAUAUGUAAGUAAAUAAGACAACCAAACCAUCAAAAUUCCAACAAAAAAUUUGAUUUUCCUCCUUCUUCCUUCUUACAAUUUCUGAAAAAAAAGCAAUUUCCAGGAAGUAGCAUGUUCUUAGCACUUGCUAUUUUUAGUCCCUGAAGGUGAUCAUGAUGCAGAACUCGGUGCCAGGUUGCCUUGUCCCAUGGUAAAGGGACACAUUUCCACACUUGCAGCACUGCUACAUGACCAUUUAUUGUCUGGGUAGAAAAAUGAAUGGUGUGCCUGUAAACAUCCCAAGGGCUAGAACUUCACAAAGACAUCUGGGGAGUGGAGUGGUGUAGCCCAGGAUAUAUGAUGGAGCUGCUAUGGAGAGGAAGUCUGAAAAGAGCUGACACUUCUUUCCUCAGGAAUUGCCCUGACCUGUUUCUCCACUAGCAUAAAACUUAUUCUUUAAUAAGUGUUGGUGACAUCAUGUUAUUACAGCCUGGUGUAACCUUGCAAGUGUCAUUGCGCCCUGGGAGUCAAGAAAAGAAAAAGCCUUCAAGCAUAGAAGGGUCUCAGUGCCAGAAAAAUUCAUUAAAGAAACUCUCAGGGUACCAUGAAGUUCCCAUUUUAAAAUGCCAAAAAACAAUGCAGGCAGUUUGAAUGUUAACCUGCAGAUAAAAGAUGCUUUCUUUAUAUUCCCAAUGAUGCAAGUUUUGACCUUCCACUCAUCAUUCCAUAUUUGCAGAUAGUGGAGAACGGAGCCUCCAGGGCUAGGAGGGUGAGAGAAUAGGGGCGUCCAAGGGAAAGCACAUCUUUCAUUGUGUGUGACAGGCAAAGAAAAUGCUCCCUUUUUCUCAAGUUACAUUUCAAUAGAUCACAGUCUUUGUUUAUCAAACACAAUAUUUUUGUGUUUCUGUUGCAAACUUAAGUUUAGGCUUCCUUACUGCAGGAAUGACAACUCUAAAUAUUACCAGGGAAAAAAGAAGGUGGUUUUAAUCUAAAUUCUGUCUGCACAAAGCUCUUUUCAUUACAAGAACAGAAGCCAAGCACAACAUAUCUACAACAUUUGAUUAAGAUCCACUGAGUAUUAAGUAUAAACUUACACUCAUAACUUUCUUCCUGCAGUGCUGCUGGUAAGAUAUUCAAUGCUGUUUUUUCCCUUUGUCUCUUUUCCCAAAGACGCUUCUCUCUCUCAGGUAUCCUGUGCUGAAAAGUAAGGUUUUUUUUCAUGUAAAAAACCUAAAUCUGCCAUAAUGAACUCUGCUGAUCCAAUUUGCUGCAAUACAUUAGCAGGAAAAAUCCACUGGGAGAGGAAUGGUAUAGAGCUAAUCUAGAGGAUUAGGAGUCACACAGAGUCAGUCAACAUUUAAAGACUUUACAGAUGGAAAACUAGCAGAGGUCUGAGUAAGGUGGUUAAGAUUGUUGUAAGGUUCACAGAGACAAGCAGGACAUACAAACAUUGAAAGAGAUGUGAAUGCUGAAUCACCAGGAAACUCUUUUUGUCUUUUAAAAUACUUUUUAUUAUUUCGCAGUUCAGAAGGAAAAUGUUAAAUUAUAUUGCCAGUUAAUAAGAAGUGAAAUUCUCUGCUUAUCUUGGGGAAAUUUAAAAUAUAGAAAGACAUAUUACAAGUAGGUAUUUUAGUAGUUAGAGGUGGAGGCAGCUGUAGAGAUUAUUUUGGUUUUCAUCAGCUCAUUUUAGAUCUAUUACCACUGUGCCUGUCGAGCCAGUGGGACAUACUGCAGCACAAUACGAUUACAGCUAUUUUUCAUUAAUAUUUAAGGAUCUACUAUAUCAUUUCUGUUGUACACUGAGCCACCAACAUAUGUGCAAUAGGCAGCUUUAACAGAAGUGAAAUUAGGCUACCUAGUCUUUACCAUAUGCAUAUAUGUGCAUGCCAUAUGCACAUUCAAAGUCCAUUUGCAUAGGGUCUGUUUCAGAUUUUUGCCUUCAAUUUUGCAUUAUUAAGAUGUAGUCAUUAAUAAUACCCAUUCUAAACAACUAUUAAUCUUUCCUUACUAUAAGUCAAUAUGAAUGAGAAGUGACAAGCACAUGCAAGUAGCCAUUGUUUGUGCAAAUUUUAGAUUCAAAUUGCAAAGAACUGAAUUCUGAACACAAAUACACAGAAAAAGAGGUCUUUUUUAUAUGUAAUAAUAGCAUAAAGAAGUUUGGGGGUUAUCUUUUCAGGGCAAAUGGUAAUGAUUUCAUACCAAAAGAAGACAGUCUUAGACCAGAUGUAAGAAGGAAAUUGUUUACAGUAAGGUAAACCAGUCACAUAAGCUGCCCAGAGAGGUGGUGGGUGCCCCAACCCUGAAAACAUUCAAGGUCAGUUGGGACAGGUUUCUGUUUGUAGAUGCUCCUGUUUAUUGCAUGGGCAUUGUGCUUCUCUGCUUUUAAAGGUCCCUUUCCAGUCUAAACCCUUCCAUGAUUCUAUGAUUAUUCUGUGUUCCAGCUUUGUUUAUCUAUAAAUUCAUAAAAUGCAUUAUUUUGGAGAAAAACACAGUUUUGUGUGGAUUUGGGGCUUCAUCAUAGGCAUUAGCACUGAUUGAAUUUUAUAUGAUAAUAGUAGUUUAAAGAUUUGUAAAUUAUUCAGGAAAGAUUCAGGUUUUGUAUUGUUGGUUUUUUUUAAGACUAAUAGCAGCUUUAGUUAGAGAUGUUAUUAUAGUUUGCCAAAAUUCCAUCUAAUAUUUAUUUGUAAAGGUUAAAUGAACUUUCACAAAAUGCUUAGUCAGAGAUGUCUUGUAGAAAGUAAUUUUCAGAGAUCAUGUUUAAGAAAACAUUAAUUUCAAAUCUUCACAACAACUAAGGUAAACUAGGUUCAUUUAAAGCAGAGAAGCUUUUUAAAAAGCUUUUCUGGAUGUGGAAUAAAACAAUGAAAAAUAAAAUAAAAGGUUCUAUGAGCCUCCCCAAGUUUUUGUUGCCCUAGUCAUUAAAGCAGUCAUCUGUCUCUACCUGAUUAAAGCUGCUGAUUCUGCACUCUAGGUGAUGUUGGGCUGGUAAAACAUCUGUAGACAAAUCUGUCAGGUGCAGACACCAGCUCAGAGAGGUUAUAGUGCUUCCCAUUUUUAAGCUAACAGGGCUUAAGCAGUCCUAUCUACAUCCCCAAAAGCACAUCUUAAAUCCACAGCCAUAAAGUCCCUGAACUUGCAAGGAUGAAGAGCAGCCAAGAUAUGACUGCAUGGCUCAGCAUAUGGACGUGAUGCUCCUUGCAAAAUUGUCCUUUUUCUGAUCCACAGUGGAAAACAGUCUCCCAAGGACUUUGUACAUAGUGAUAUUUCUCUAUGCAAAGGUACUUGAUAUAUUGACUCAUUAUAAAUUUGACCCUUACAACUUAGCUGCCUGAUCAAGGCUGUGAUGUCUGUUCCAUACCACAAAAUUAAACAAAGCUAGAGGAAUUUAUUUUUCUCCAGGCUUGGCAGGAAUUUGCAGCAUAUGAGAAACUCUACUUGACAAAUAAAUGUAAUGCCUGUGAACCUCCUCACUGACCUGAUCAAAGACAAGCCCAAAACCACUAAAAACACCCCCCCAAAAAAGCCAACCCAACCAACAAAUAUAAUAAAAGAUACUUCAUGCUUUAAGUCUGGUCUACUAUUUAAAUAUCUUUUUUUAUUCUCAUGGUGCCCCUUAAAUUCUUUCUAGAAAUUCCUGUGACUGUAGAUACACUAGAAAUCUCCUAGGUUAAUUAAACCAAGUUCUUAUCAGAAAUUAAAGUAAUGGCCAGCUAGCCAAAAUACUAAUCUCCCAAUGUGCAGCUUAAGCUUUGUAUCUGAAAUCAAUCAUAUUUGUAAGCAGGCAGUAAUGUUAUACAUACUGCAGCCUAGUGUUAAAUACCCUCCUUUAUCUAGCUUUUGAAUUUGAAUCCCAGGACUCACUCUGUUAUGUUCAGUAGAAUUUCACCCUGCAAAGAGCCCCAUAGAUUUCCAUUUUCCAUUGCCUUUGGACAUCAUAAUAUCAUUCACAACACAAGCAUUACAGUAUUUUUUGUGUUAACCAUAUGGCCUGUUCAUUGCAUCCUUAAAGACUGUGCAACUUGUUAUUGCUCCAUCAAAGAUUAAUUGAACAUAGAUUUCAUGCAAAGGGAGGACAGUCAAUCUAAUGCUAAUACUUGGGCUCAAACUCUAUACCUUACAUUACCACUAUCUUGCUCCCUUUCUCUUUUUAUUUUUCAUAAACAACUGUGUCCCUAGCUGUAGAAAUGUAAGUCUACUCCUAUUUUCACAGUAGGAUCUAGCUUCUUCAGAGUAAGAUAAAGGCUAUUGGAAUUGAUUGGUUGUGGAAAAUGAUGAGUUACAUUUUAUGUGUUUCAUUUUGCUUUUAAUUUUGUCAGUAUACUGAGGCAAUGGCUGCUGGUGAAAUCUGUUUGCUUUAAUUUCCUUUCUAAAUAGUUAUGUUAAUGGGAAAAAUCUCCAAUCAGAAGAGUGAAAAAAUCCCAGAGGUACAUUUUGGAUUCUACACGGAAUCAAAAACCUGCAAGGACUGUAAGCAUUGCUUCUGAAGCUCUCGUGUGGAGAGAAAUCACGGGGCUUGCUGAAUCUCACAGCAAAACCUGCUGUCUCAGCAACAAUUACUGUAGAUGUGCUUACAAACUGACACCGGUGAUAAUGUCAGUGUGCAGCUGGGAUGUUAAAUGGAACCUGCUGCUCCACACCAGCUUAUUCAAGCAGAUUCAGGGGCAGGGAAAAAGCAGGCAGAAGGGCAGAGAAGAUGCCAGUGUGGGGGGUGUGUGUGUGUGUGUAUUAUAGAUAUAUGAAAAUGCAGUCAUGCAUUUGGAAAUGAAAUGUAUAAAAAAGUGAAGACAGUGAAAGAAUACCAAAUGCCACUCAUCAGGGGAUUCAGGGCAUCAGGAAAGCAGCAUGAUGCCAGCAGGUGAACAGGGCAGCAGGAGCCUGGUAACUGGCAGCCAACAUGUGGCCAGGCCAGCAGGCAGCAAACACCUGGAAGCUUCUUUGUGAACCAGCCAGCAGGAGCCUGGUGCAGAGCAGAGAGCAGGUGGAUGGGGUGGCAGCCAGGCUGGAUACCUGGCAGCUGCUCGGGGUCAGCUUGUCAGAGAGCUCGCUACACAGAGGCAUAAAAAGGGCAGUUUGCUUUUUCUCUGUUGCCUUAUGAUCACAUAUUUUAAUGGGAAAGAUGAAACACACCUUAUUCAAAGUGCUUUUUGUGGGGAACUGAAAGCCUGUGUCAUAGUUUAAGAAUUUUCCAGCAUUUUCAAAGUGUUGUCUCAGUUUCAGCAUCUCUUGAGCAAUACUGUAAUGUAAUGAAAUUCCUUUACAUUGGUCAGACAUUGAACAGUUCUGGUUUUAAGUGUAAUGAUACCUAUUUAGAUCUCCAAGCAAAGGUAACACAUGAAGCAGUGUAAAACUAGCCACAGCAGCAAUAUCAUUACAAACCUCUUCCAGAGAGCACUACUGAAAUGAGAUCAUUUUUCUAAUCUCCAGAUGAAAAAAUAGACAUUAUGGAAGAGCUGAUGGCAUUCAUUACAGCUCCACACACUUUAAGGAACUACACUGACUCUCACUACCUAGAAACUGGCUUUGUGUGUCUGUCCUGUCCCUGAUGAGCCCUGCAGAGCAUGGCAGCCAGAGAAUAACAAGUGCUACUGCUGCUGUGUCAACUCCCUGCUUGUGAAGGGGACUAACUGGAACCAGGGUGCAACUCAAAGAGCUUUUAAAAUUUGAGGUUGCACAGCUCAUUAAGUUAUUUUAAUGGAAAUUAUAUUUUUCCUAUGUGUUUUACAGACUUCAGUCUUUCCCCAUAGAAUUAACCAUACAGCUGACCUAUUCAAUUAAAAAAUCUUUCACCAAUUUGGGUCAUCUGGGAUAAAACUUGAUAUACAUGAAAUUAAAUCAGAAUCCUUCCUUUGAACAGGACACACAAAACCUCUAUACUGAUCAGAAUGUGUUUUUGAGGUUUUUCUCUUUCUUUCUCUUUUCUUUGCUGAUACAUCACUCUCUGAAGAGUGCAUUUGCAGGAGGAGGAGGAUAACCUCUUCACUCCCUGGCAAUGACAUGCUGCAGGGUAUAGCACAUUCCUUGGGUGUAUAAGUAGAUGGAUAUUACAUAGGAAAAAGAGGUGGCAUUACCUCUGACCAUAACAUUGAUAGAAUCCCACAGCUAAAUCCACUGUUUGCAUUUUAAAUAGAGGCUUUCUGAAUAAAUAGUUGAAAAAAAAAGUAUAUUUGUAAAUAUA